UCUUAUGGAUUAGCAAAGGAAGUGGUUUCUUGAGAUGGAAACUACUCCUGGUGAAGAUGCUGUGAA
rnacentral:pre_miRNA from 1 species